rnacentral:rRNA from 1 species
CUUGCAUGCCUGCAGGUCGACGAUUCGGGAAACCGGAGCUAAUACCGGAUAAUCCUUUCCCUCACAUGAGAGAAAGCUGAAAGACGGUUUCGGCUGUCACUUACAGAUGGGCCCGCGGCGCAUUAGCUAGUUGGUGAGGUAACGGCUCACCAAGGCGACGAUGCGUAGCCGACCUGAGAGGGUGAUCGGCCACACUGGGACUGAGACACGGCCCAGACUCCUACGGGAGGCAGCAGUAGGGAAUCUUCCGCAAUGGACGAAAGUCUGACGGAGCAACGCCGCGUGAACGAUGAAGGCCUUCGGGUCGUAAAGUUCUGUUGUUAGGGAAGAACAAGUAUCGGAGUAACUGCCGGUACCUUGACGGUACCUAACCAGAAAGCCACGGCUAACUACGUGCCAGCAGCCGCGGUAAUACGUAGGUGGCAAGCGUUGUCCGGAAUUAUUGGGCGUAAAGCGCGCGCAGGCGGUUCCUUAAGUCUGAUGUGAAAGCCCCCGGCUCAACCGGGGAGGGUCAUUGGAAACUGGGGAACUUGAGUACUGAAGAGGAAAGCGGAAUUCCACGUGUAGCGGUGAAAUGCGUAGAGAUGUGGAGGAACACCAGUGGC